rnacentral:rRNA from 1 species
UCCAGACUCCUACGGGAGGCAGCAGUGGGGGAUAUUGCACAAUGGGGGAAACCCUGAUGCAGCGACGCCGCGUGGGUGAAGAAGCGCCUCGGCGCGUAAAGCCCUGUCAGCAGGGAAGAAAAUGACGGUACCUGAAGAAGAAGCCCCGGCUAACUACGUGCCAGCAGCCGCGGUAAUACGUAGGGGGCAAGCGUUAUCCGGAUUUACUGGGUGUAAAGGGAGCGUAGACGGCAGAGCAAGUCUGAAGUGAAAGCCCGCGGCCCAACUGCGGGACUGCUCUUGGAACUGCGUGGCUGGAGUGCAGGAGGGGCAGGCGGAAUUCCUGGUGUAGCGGUGAAAUGCGUAGAUAUCAGGAGGAACACCGGUGGCGAAGGCGGCCUGCUGGACUGCAACUGACGUUGAGGCCCGAAAGCGUGGGGAGCAAACAGGAUUAGAUACCCGCGUACU